rnacentral:rRNA from 1 species
UACGUAGGGUGCAAGCGUUAAUCGGAAUUACUGGGCGUAAAGCGUGCGCAGGCGGUUUUGUAAGUCUGACGUGAAAUCCCCGGGCUUAACCUGGGAAUGGCGUUGGAGACUGCAAGGCUGGAAUCUGGCAGAGGGGGGGUAGAAUUCCACGUGUAGCAGUGAAAUGCGUAGAGAUGUGGAGGAACACCGAUGGCGAAGGCAGCCCCCCUGGGCUAAGAUUGACGCUCAUGCACGAAAGCGUGGGGAGCAAACAGG